rnacentral:lncRNA from 1 species
GGCUCUUGUCAGAAGGAUGAUGAUGCAAUACGAUAAUCUCCCGUGUUAUUACAACUUGGUAAUCUAUGAUUUAUUUUUAGUUCUGGAUUUCAAAGGAUUUUUUUCUUGAAUUUCAUAUGAAAAUAGAUAUUUAAAUAUUUUGCUAUGGAUACUGUAUUUUGAUCAUGAACAAGCUUCUGUCCAAAUUUCAUCUAAUUUCAUGUAGGUUUGACAAAGUUAUUGACACUCAAAAAAACUUAAACACAGGCUGAACUAUAAUGUUGAGGCUGCAAAAAACAUUUCUAGAAUUGUGACUAAUUGUAUGUAUAAAGUGUUAGUUCAAGAAGUAUUUGAUAAAAAAAAA